AAGAGCAAUCAAGGGCAAAAUGUUGAUUGGCUCAUUCACUCGUGAAGACACCAAAAUUGUUUUCAGUUGUCCCAACAAAUCCAGAUGCAUAUAAACCUUAGCUUUGAAGACCUACGGAGAGUAAAAGCAAGAACACCAUAUCCUGUUAGCGAUACUCGGAAACAAAAAUGUGAUUGGUUAUCUUCAAAUUUGGGAUUAUUGGACAGCAAAAAUAUAAACAAAUAUUUUGUAUGUAAGUACAAACACGUACCUUGCUCUCCACCUUCUCCGGCAUCUUGAAAGGUUUCAAGAGCGCGCUUUCCUAAGGAUCCGGAGAAACCAGAAUUCCAUUCUCGUUUACCCAUUCCUCCCGCAAAUCCAGAAUUCCAAGCCCUUUUUCCCAAUCCACCGGCGAAUCCAGAAUUCCAUGCCCUUUUGUUAAAGUCAAUAAUUGAGGAUUUGUCGUCAAUGGAUAAGGGAGAAUAUCGCUUUCCAAUGCCACCCACAAAUCCGGAGUUCCACGCUCUCUUCCCCAUGCCUCCUUGAAAUCCAGAGUUCCAAGCACGUUUGCCCAUUCCUCCAGCGAAGCCACUGUUCCAAGCUCGCUUUCCAUAGUUUGAUCCAAGUUCAUGAGCCAAAAUAUCGUUGCUGAGCUCAUGGCUUCCGUCUAAUCCCUUCAAUUUGAUCAUGACAAUGACUCAUUGGACGAAGUGAUUGGACGAAGUGAUGGAGUUUUAUAUUUACCGCAGCCCGUUUCGCCGAUCCACCGUUGAAGUUAUUCCAUCCACGUUUCCCAUAUCCGGCAUUGAAAUUGUUCCAACCUCUUUUGGCUAAUUCAAUCUCAUCUAUGAAUAGUUGAAUUUUAAACCAUGUAAAUUAGUUUGAUUUAAAGCUCUACAUUUGAUUGGUUAGUUUCAUAAUUUACCUUGAAUUUCAUUAUCGCCCAAUGAAAUAUCCAUUGGGAAGGAGCCAUAAAUUUCAUUGUUUGGGAUAUAACCACUUGAAUCCACGGUAAUACUCUCGAGAAAUAGUAUUAAUAUCACGAAGACUACACGACUUGUGGUCAAAAUGGCAUGGUCAUCUUUGAGCAUGGCCAAUCUUAGAAGC